GGGACUGAAGUAUGCCAAUAUGGCCAGCUUUCAAGAAAUCACCCCUUGGCGCUCUCCCUGUGGUGAAGCCGAGGGGUCCCCCGCAUUGCACUGUGGGAGAAGCCCCCCUCAGCCCCGGACCACCCUUCAGAUGUUUUCAGUCUGGCUUGAUGUUGGAAUUCAUCAUCGCUGCUGUAGCACAGAGGAGCCGGUUUACAGCAGCCCGAGGACGGCCUGGUGUUUGCUGGAUAACUGUGGGCGUGUGAGAGACCAUGUUUGCCAGGAGUCUUCAGAGCAAAGGAAAAAGCAGGUGGGUGCAGCUCGUAGCUUUUGCACAGAGGUCACACACACACACACACCAACACCUGUUCAGUGCUGCAGGGCAUUUGUACAGGGAGCUGCUAGCAGGGGACUGUUAGUGUACACACCAGGUGUACACAAAAGAUGUUCUAAACAGACAAUAGUUUUCAGCCCUAUUUCAACAUGAAGUUAACCUAGGACCUGCUGCUUCGUGUCCUCGUGUCCUCGUUGUUUAUGUCCCUCAAAUAAGUCACAGUUAUUUACGAGCUGUUUAUCUCAGACAUCUGUUGCUCGAGUGUGACAGGACAGAUAUGGAUGGAUUUCUAAUGGCUACAGCUGUACAUCAUAUUUCACCGCAGCUCAAAGUGACCUCCUGUCUGUCAUUUGUUACCUUCAUGCAUAAUGUGACAUAAAAAAUUUGAAGCCCUUUGAAAUGA